GGGCACAUGGUCUAGGGGUAUGAUUUUCGCUUCGCAUAUCCUGACACAACGUCGGUGACAUCGUGUGAAAGGUCGUGGGUUCAAUUCCCACUGUGUCCA